AUGGAAGGAACACCCUUGAGCCAAGAGGACAGCACAAAAUACAGAAGUUUGGUAGGAGCACUUCAAUAUCUCACUCUAACCAGACCUGAUAUUUCCUUUGCUGUCAAUAAAGUCUGUCAGUUCCUUCAUGCACCCACUACUGUUCAUUUGACUUCUGCAAAACGUAUAGUAAGAUAUGUCAAAAAUACUUUGAGUGUUGGUCUCAGUUUCAGCAGAUCAUCUUCUACCCUUGUCAGUGCCUUUUCUGACUCUGAUUGGGCAGCAUGCUUGGAUGAUAGGCGUUCAACUGGUGGUUUUGCAAUAUUUUUUGGGCCUAACUUGAUCUCCUGGUGUGCUAGAAAACAAGCAAUAGUUUCUAGGUCAAGUACAGAGGCAGAAUACAAGGCUCUAGCAAAUGCCACAGCUGAAAUCAUUUGGGUGCAGUCCAUGCUUAAGGAACUUGGUGUGAAAAGUAAGCAAGCUCCCUGUCUAUAG
rnacentral:rRNA from 1 species